rnacentral:rRNA from 1 species
GAGUUUGAUCUUGGCUCAGAACGAACGCUGGCGGCAUGCCUAACACAUGCAAGUCGAACGAAGUCUUCGGACUUAGUGGCGCACGGGUGCGUAACGCGUGGGAAUCUGCCCUUGGGUACGGAAUAACUCAGAGAAAUUUGUGCUAAUACCGUAUAAUGUCUUCGGACCAAAGAUUUAUCGCCCAAGGAUGAGCCCGCGUAAGAUUAGCUAGUUGGUGAGGUAAGAGCUCACCAAGGCGACGAUCUUUAGCUGGUCUGAGAGGAUGAUCAGCCACACUGGGACUGAGACACGGCCCAGACUCCUACGGGAGGCCAGCAGUGGGGAAUAUUGGACAAUGGGUGAAAGCCUGAUCCAGCAAUGCCGCGUGAGUGAUGAAGGCCUUAGGGUUGUAAAGCUCUUUUACCCGGAUGAUAAUGACAGUACCGGAG